CUCAUCGGACGACAGCAGCUGUGAGGGCGCUCUGAGCCCUGCGGAGCGCGAGCUGCUCGACUUCUCCAGCUGGUUAGGGGGCUACUGAGCGCUCCGCCUCGCGAGCGGCCCUACUGGGAGCCAGCGCAUUGGACUGGUCCGCGGCUCGGUCCCCGCCAUCCCCGCGGGCCGAGCCACUGCCGAGCCGGGGAUCCCGCCGGCGCGUUCUGGCCGUCCAGCCCGACCGAGGGCUAGUGUGGAAGCCGGUCUGCCUGACCUCAUCCGGGCGGCAGCUUCCUUGGACCCCAGCCACCCUGCCCCCAGAGGCCUUCCACCGGAGUGGGGAUGCGCAGCAACACCCGGAGGUUUGAAGGGGAGAGAAUUUUGUGAGGACACAGACAAUCCGUUUUAACCCGUACACUUGAACUGCCUAGGGACAUUGGCAAUAUGAAGAGUUAUUUUUGUACAAAGAACCCUUAGAUUUGGAACACAAUAAAGCUUGUCUACCCCCGCCCCA